UUAACCGAAUAGGGGAGCCGGAGGGAAACCGAGUCUUAAUUGGGCGUUAAGUUGCAGGGUAUAGACCCGAAACCCGGUGAUCUAGCCAUGGGCAGGUUGAAGGUUGGGUAACACUAACUGGAGGACCGAACCGACUAAUGUUGAAAAAUUAGCGGAUGACCUGUGGCUGGGGGUGAAAGGCCAAUCAAACCGGGAGAUAGCUGGUUCUCCCCGAAAGCUAUUUAGGUAGCGCCUCGUGAACUCAUCUUCGGGGGUAGAGCACUGUUUCGGCUAGGGGGUCAUCCCGACUUACCAACCCGAUGCAAACUGCGAAUACCGAAGAAUGUUAUCACGGGAGACACACGGCGGGUGCUAACGUCCGUCGUGAAGAGGGAAACAACCCAGACCGCCAGCUAAGGUCCCAAAGUCAUGGUUAAGUGGGAAACGAUGUGGGAAGGCCCAGACAGCCAGGAUGUUGGCUUAGAAGCAGCCAUCAUUUAAAGAAAGCGUAAUAGCUCACUGGUCGAGUCGGCCUGCGCGGAAGAUGUAACGGGGCUAAACCAUGCACCGAAGCUGCGGCAGCGACGCUGAUGCGUUGUUGGGUAGGGGAGCGUUCUGUAAGCCUGUGAAGGUGGCCUGUGAGGGUUGCUGGAGGUAUCAGAAGUG
rnacentral:rRNA from 1 species